UAAGGAAUAUUGGUCAAUGGACGCAAGUCUGAGCCAGCCAUGCCGCGUGAAGGAUGAAGGUCCUCUGGAUUGUAAACUUCUUUUAUCUGGGACGAAAACGGGAUUUUUAUCUCAAUUGACGGUACCAGAGGAAUAAGCACCGGCUAACUCCGUGCCAGCAGCCGCGGUAAUACGGAGGGUGCGAGCGUUAUCCGGAUUUACUGGGUUUAGAGGGUGCGUAGGUGGGCUUAUAAGUCAGCGGCGAAAUCUCCGGGCUUAACUUGGAAACUGCCGGUGAUACUAUAGGUCUUGAAUUAUCUGGAGGUAAGCGGAAUAUGUCAUGUAGCGGUGAAAUGCUUAGAUAUGACAUAGAACACCAAUUGCGAAGGCAGCUAACUACAUAUAAAUUGACGCUGAGGCACGAAAGCGUGGGGAUCAAACA
rnacentral:rRNA from 1 species